rnacentral:lncRNA from 1 species
GCCCGCUUUGAACAAAAUCAAAUCCAUAUCCGAAUCCACGAGGUUAUUCUUUGCCCAUCCAUAAAAAAACCCACGGAUAAAAAAUUGUGUCCAUGUCCAAACCCGAUGGAUAUCCAUAUCCAAUGGAUACCCAUCGGGUCCUAUCAAAACACGUAUACAUAAUACCUUGGCACAACAUUCACAUACAGACUCAAAUUCUCACAAAAUGACAUCUGAGAAGGGCACCACAUGAAAUAAGCGUUCAGAUUCUCAUGCACUCAGCUUUCGGUUCCCCAUUAAUAAUUUUCUUUUCAAAAAUUCCUUCCCACACAAUUGAUGUGAGCUUUCUUUUAUUACAACUCUAACAGACCCAUCACCACCAUGACCUUGUGAUGCUCUCACAGUAGUAGCUUGAGUUGGGGAAGUAGCUAGGUUAACAUUCCCAGUGAUAGCCCCAGCACCGCCUUGUGCUCCAUGAGAAUCCAUUGCGCUAUAAAAUGAAAAAAAAGUCAUUUGUUUCAGUUAAAGUGAAAUUAGGUACAUACUGUCUGAACUGUACAAAUGUGGUACCUACAUUACAAUUUUACAACCAAAACGACUAAUAACUAAAGUGACGGACUGUGAGAUCCUUUCUUCAGCACAUGACAUGCAGAAAGUUGAGCACAAGCUUUAAUUGAAACAAAUCUCUUGUCUGAAAUGUACAAUUUCGAUUCCUAAAUUGCAAUUUUACAACCAAAUAAACUAUAAUUAAAGCGAAAGUCCGUGAGCCCUUCUAUUCAGCAGAUGACAUGGGUUGAGCACAUGACAUUGACCAAGUUGAGAAAAUGAAUCUUAAUCAGUCAGAUUCUAACUUUAUACUAAUCAUUCACAAUCCACUUGAUAGAAAUUCAAAAAUAAACUGACAUAUUUUGUAAAAACGAAUUACUGUACUAAUUAACAGGCAUAUCCAUAGAAGCGGAAUCUGACUCGAAUUGACCAUCAGAAGUAUCAUAUUCUCUUGUUCUCUGAUUUGUAGUCAGAUUUCACUUUUUAGUCAGAGUUUAUAGUCUAACCUGACUGAAAUUGACCACUACAGAUCAGUAAUGCAGUAAAGUCUGAUUUUUCUCUUGUCACAAACUAAAAAAUAGAAAUUGACCACUAGUCCACUGCAAAUCUCUUAUUCUCUACUCUAAUUACUACUACAAACUCAUGAACAAGCACGUCAUGCACAUCCACGCACAAGCAGUAGAUGUACACGAGCAGGAACAAAAAGCUUACCCUGACGGUUGGCUGUUUGGCGUGGUCAUCGCCUCCACGACGUGGUCCUGCUCCUCGCCGUGGUCUGCGCCCGCCUCGCUGCGCCUUUGCGCCGCCAUACUCCUGGUCGUGCGCGCCAUCGCACGCUGCAUCGUCGUGCUCCACCUCGCUGUCGCGCGUACAAACUGGUGGUUUGCUGUGCGCUUGGGAAUGCUGAGAUGGAGGAGUCGGGGGGAUCUGUGGAGAUGGAGCCGGCCAGCAGUUAGACUGUAUAUACGUAGCCUCUGUAUAUCUGUAUUGUAACGUUGUAUUGUACCCCUUGGGUACUUCUAUAUAAUGAGAUAGCCACAC